UAGGGAAUCUUCGGCAAUGGGGGGAACCCUGACCGAGCAACGCCGCGUGAGUGAAGAAGGUUUUCGGAUCGUAAAGCUCUGUUGUUAAGGAAGAACGAGUGUGAGAAUGGAAAGUUCAUACUGUGACGGUACUUAACCAGAAAGGGACGGCUAACUACGUGCCAGCAGCCGCGGUAAUACGUAGGUCCCGAGCGUUGUCCGGAUUUAUUGGGCGUAAAGCGAGCGCAGGCGGUUAGAAAAGUCUGAAGUGAAAGGCAGUGGCUCAACCAUUGUAGGCUUUGGAAACUGUUUAACUUGAGUGCAGAAGGGGAGAGUGGAAUUCCAUGUGUAGCGGUGAAAUGCGUAGAUAUAUGGAGGAACACCAGUGGCGAAGGCGACUCUCUGGUCUGUAACUGACGCUGAGGCUCGAAAGCGUGGGGAGCGAACAGG
rnacentral:rRNA from 1 species